rnacentral:lncRNA from 1 species
GAGGUGGUGGAGAGGCGUAAAUGUAUACUGGUGGAGGAGGUGAUUUCACGGGUGGAGGAGGUGAGUUGUAGUAGUAGGGGGGAGGAGGAGAUUUUACUGGUGGAGGUGGAGAGUGGUAAUAGUAGGGAGGUGGAGGAGAAGGUGACGGUGGAGGUGGUGACUUGUAGUAGUAGGGUGGAGGUGGUGAUGGGGAUGGUGGAGGAGGAGACUUGUAAUAGUAGGGUGGUGGAGGUGAUGGUGAUGGGGGUGGUGGAGACAUGUAGUAGUAAGGUGGUGGAGGAGAUGAUGAUGGGGGUGGAGGAGACUUGUAGUAGUAUGGUGGAGGGGGAGAAGGUGAUGGUGGCGGUGGGGACUUGUAGUAGUAAGGUGGUGGAGGAGACGGUGAUGGUGGGGGUGGGGACUUGUAGUAGUAAGGUGGGGGUGGAGAGGGUGAUGGUGGUGGCGGUGAUUUGUAAUAGUAUACAGGUGCAGGUUUUGGUGAUGGUGGUGGAGGAGACUUGUAGUAGUAAGGAGGUGGAGGAGAAGGUGACGGUGGAGGUGGUGACUUGUAGUAGUAGGGUGGAGGUGGUGAUGGGGAUGGUGGAGGAGGAGACUUGUAAUAGUAGGGUGGUGGAGGUGAUGGUGAUGGGGGUGGUGGAGACAUGUAGUAGUAAGGUGGUGGAGGAGAUGAUGAUGGGGGUGGAGGAGACUUGUAGUAGUAUGGUGGAGGGGGAGAAGGUGAUGGUGGCGGUGGGGACUUGUAGUAGUAAGGUGGUGGAGGAGACGGUGAUGGUGGGGGUGGGGACUUGUAGUAGUAAGGUGGUGGUGGAGAGGGUGAUGGUGGUGGCGGUGAUUUGUAAUAGUAUACAGGUGCAGGUUUUGGUGAUGGUGGUGGAGGAGACUUGUAGUAGUAAGGAGGUGGAGGAGAAGGUGACGGUGGUGGUGGUGACUUAUAAUAGUAUACUGGUGCAGGUUUUGGUGAUGGUGGUGGAGGAGACUUGUAGUAGUAAGGAGGUGGAGGAGAAGGUGACGGUGGUGGUGGUGACUUAUAAUAGUAUGGAUUUAUAAACGUAUGUCGGGGUUGGGGGAGGUGGUGACUUGUAAACAUAUGUUGGUGAUGGAGGAGGUGGUGACUUAUAAACAUAAGUUGGUGAUGGAGGUGGAGGAGAUUUAUAGUAGUAUGGAGCAGGUGUAGGAUUGGGUUUUUUGCAUUCGGCAUAAGGUGUCUUAGAGCCAUAAGCAAAUGGUUUUGCAUAGAGUACAACUUCAUAUUUAUUCUUUGACUUCACUUUGAGGUUAGCACCCUUAAUUCCCCAAUGAAGAUUUGUAGGAAUGCUACACUUUGAAUCCUUAGGAGCAUUGUGGAGUUUAGCCUUGCAAGCCUUUGCUCCAUAUUUGCUAUAUUCAAAUCCUUCAACAGUGAUGCUAAAUUUGCCAUUGAUCUUAGUGGUACCAUAACUCACAAUUUCUUUGUCACCGGCCUUGCAAGUCACUUCAACAACAACACCUAAUUCAUAGAAAGAAGAAAUAAUACUCAAUGAAUACUAAAAAUAAAUUUAAUUUACAAAGACACUUCUAAUGAUGAAUAGUAAAUUGUAAAGAAUAAAAAAUUUGAAAUAAAUUGAAGUAAAACAUAUAUUUGUACCUUUGAGGUGCUUCUUAGCAUGAGACUUUUCUGGGUAUUCCUUAUCAUAGCAUCUAAAACAGUAAACUUUUCCAACAACCUUGACUACAAAGUGAUGAUGUGGAGGAUAAUAGUGAGUAGGUGGUGGUGGGGAAGUGUAGUAGUAUGGUGGAGGAGAUGAUUUCUUUGGUGGUGGUGGUGAAGUGUAGUAGUAUGGUGAAGGAGACGACUUAGCUGGUGGUGGUGGAGAAGUGUAGUGAUACGGUGGAGGAGGUGAUUUCUUUGGUGGUGGAGGAGAGCUGUAGUAGUAUGGUGGAGGAGGUGACUUAGCUGGUGGUGGUGGUGAAGUGUAGUGAUAUGGUGGAGGAGGUGAUUUCUUUGGUGGUGGAGGAGAGUUGUAGUAGUAUGGUGGAGGAGGAGACUUCUUCGGGGGUGGUGGAGAACUAUAGUAAUAUGGUGGUGGAGGUGACUUCUUGGGUGGGGGUGGGGAGUUGUAGUAGUAAGGUGGGGGUGGUGAAGACUUAGGAGGCGGUGGAGAUUUAUAGUAGUAAGGUGGUGGAGAUGACGGUGAUGGUGGUGGAGGAGAUUUGUAAUAGUAAGGUGGUGGUGGAGAAGGCGAAGGAGGUGGUGGAGAUUUAUAGUAGUAUGGUGGAGGUGGUGAUGGUGAGGGUGGUGGUGGAGAUUUGUAAUAAUAUGGUGGCGGGGGUGAUGGUGAAGGUGGUGGAGGAGAUUUAUAGUAGUAUGGUGGUGGUGGUGAAGGUGAUGGCGGAGGAGGUGACUUGUAGUAAUACGGUGGAGGUGGUGAUGGUGACGGGGGAGGUGGAGACUUGUAUACAUAUGGUGGUGGUGGAGAGGGAGAUGGAGGUGGUGGAGACUUGUAUACAUAUGGUGGUGGUGGAGAUGGUGAAGGAGGAGGUGGAGAAGUAUAGACAUAUGGAGGCGGGGGAGAAGGUGAAGGAGGAAGUGGAGAUUUGUAUACGUAAGGUGGAGGCGGAGAAGGAGAAGGAGGUGGUGGUGACUUGUACUCAUACGCGGGAGGAGGUGGAGAAGAAUAUACAUAAGGGUCAGCCGAUACUACAUUUGCCACAACCAAUACGGCCAAAGCCACUAAGAUCAGCCGCAAACGACGACCCCUUGUGGGGCCGCCACCGUUAAACUUCAUUUUCGCCGGAAAACACAACCACCCACCCCUCAAAUAUGGCUACAAAAAUCUCCAAAAACUUGAAGAAAAAAAAGAGAGGAAGACUAUAGUGUUAUAGUUGAGAAGUGAUGAAUUUAGUUGAUUGAGUGUACAAAGUAUUUAUAGUAACAUUUUAAGAAUAACUACUAGCUGGUAUAGAGUUGUCAACAAGUGACCAAUUCAAUUAAUCUGAUUGUUAAUCAAUGAUUAAAAUUAUUAAGAACUUAAAACAGCUAGAUGAAUUUUUUAUUUUAUUUUUAUUUUUAAAGUCCAUUACUAGAUCACUUUGAAUUUUCCAUGCAACUUCUUUAACAAGUAAAUAUAAACAUAUCAUAAAAUGGUUUAAGGCAAGUGAGUGCUAAUUUAAAAUUAUUUCCACUUCUCUUGCAUUUUUGAACUUUUUGUUUUGUCUCAUAGAGAGUGAGAUCUCACAAUUAUUUGUGUUUUUCUAUUUACAAAUAAUUAUUCAUUAUGUAGUAUGUUCUUAAAUAUCUUUUGCAUAACAUUAUGGAUUAUCACGAGGUGGACGAUUCUUUACUUUAACGAGGUUUCGAGAUUGAAUUUUAGGAAUGAAGAUAUUACUGGUAGGGAGAAUAGGCCCUAUGCAUAGGAAAUUUGAAUUAGUUGAGCCGAUAAGUUCCUAAUACUAUGAUUAUGACGGAAAAGACAAAAUUGUCUUGAUUUAGAGUACAAAUUAUUUUGUAAAUUGUGGACUAGAAACUUAAUUUGUAAUACAACAAUUUCUUUAAGAUUGAAAUGUUUCAACAAUUACAAAUGGAAGUACUCUAAAAUGCUAUACAAUGUUAGUUUAGUUACAUUGCUUGUGGAGACUUGGCAUGACAUGCACAAAUCAAGAAAUGGUCCGAAUUUAAUUCAAUCAUUUUUUAUAAGGAGCGUUUUAUCGUCCAAUAUGAAAUGUUUUGACGUGAAUUUGAGUUAUUGAACUACAAAACAGAAACUAGACACCAGACACUAAACACCAGAUGAAAAAACCCCUAAAAAUAAAUAAAGAAUUACCUAAUCAUGUUUGUUUUGUUUAUUACACAUUUCUGAAUUGUAAGUGUAUAUAUAUAUAUAUAUAUAUAAUAAGAGAAUAUUUCUGUCAUUUUUGUUUAAUUACAGGGAAUAUUGGAUAUUAGUUCUGACAUUAUACUAAUUUAAAAUUACAAGCCGACAUAAGUUCAAUUAUUUCCUUAGUUGACUUUAAUUUCCUCCCUAAUUGUUACUUUAUUUUUUAUUAUUAUUUCUUAAUGAGGAUAUUAUAUGUUUGUUCCCUCAAUUACUAAUGAAUUUAGGUUUUGAUCCUUGUAAUAUUAGACGAAACACAUUCAAAUUUAAUGAGUUAAAAAGUGGAUUUAUCCCUUCAUGUACCGAAAUAUGCUAUAUUUAAACUAUUUUCAGAAUUAUAUUAUCCUAAAAUAUGAAGUAACAAUACAAAUUUAAAAUAACAUAUUGAUAAUUGAAUAAGUUAACUCUUAAUAAUUCACUAAUUUAUUAAAGUUCAAUGUCAGAUUGAUCAAAAGUGCAUAUAUGAUCAAUUGAUUGGACCACAAAAUAAGGAUCAAACUAUAUAUUUACAUAUUUUGUAACUAUAUUCUUUUUUCUUAUAUAAGUAUUUUCAUUGUAAUAAUAUUUGAAAAUGCAUGUGAAUUCUCAAUGAUGAGAUCAACUACAUGUGGAUGCAAUACUUAUAGUUUUUUUUGCAGCUUUUUAUUGGUCCAAUUUUUGCAAAAAGGAUCAUCAAAAGCAUAGAACAAACUAGAAAUGGAUUUUUAUCCUUUUUGGCGCAUUAUGAUGGGAAAUUUUAUAUGAUUUUUUUUAAUUUUUUUGAUGCUUGGUUGUAAGAGAAUAUUUUGGCAUUAUACAUAAAUAUGAUUUUUAAUUUGGCUUCAACUGAUAUUUAUGUCCUUCAACUUUAAGUGUACAUAAGUAACCACUAAAACUUGUACAAAAUUAAACAAGCAUAUACAUACCUUUUACAUGACGUCCUAUGUGACAAUUUGCAUCCUACAUGUCGCAUCCUACGUGUAAUAUGUCACAUAAGACGUGUGCGUCUACUUGUUCAAUUAUAUACAAGUUUUUAAGUAUCUACUUGUGUGCACUCAAAGUUUGAGGACAUGGAUACCAAUUGAAGUCAAAUUAAAAAACACAUUUAUAUGUUAUGCCUAAUAUUUUUUCUGCCAUAUGACGUUUCUCACUUUUAGGCGAAAGUCAUUUUCCUUUAUAAUUAUAACGAUUUUGAAUCACAAUUUUAUUCAGUACUUGGUUAUUAUUGAUCAAUUUUGCUUGUGAAAAAUAAUCGUUGUUAUGAAGCUAUAUAUCAUUUGGGACCAAAUUGACCUUCUUAUUGAUUUGUGCACAAACUAACAAAAUACAAUUUAAUUAGUAGGAAUGAAUAAUUUGAGGAUAUCCUCAAUACAAACAAUAAAUUACAAAGAAAUAAACACUAUGAAGCAUUGUUCCAUUGACGUUUGAAUCUUCUCCUCAAGAAGCCAUCAUAAUUUAUUUUGUGCUUCAAACUAAAACCUGAAAAGAAACAAUCAAAAAGAAAAUUAGAGCCUUAAUUCAAAGAAAAGAAGUAGACUAAAUUAAUCUGUGAAAAAGAAUCACAAUUCAAAUGUCAACUCACUUGAUUGAUUGUGGAGAAUGAUUGAACACUUGAAAUUUCUUAGUAGUGAAUGGGAGGUGGUGGUGAAGCGUAAAUAUAUACUGGUGGAGGAGGUGAGCUAUAGUAAUAAGGAGGGGGAGGAGACUUUACUGGUGGAGGGGGAGAGUGAUAGUAGUAAGGAGGUGGGGGAGAAGGCGAUGGUGGAGGAGGCGACUUGUAGUAGUAGGGUGGUGGAGGAGAUGGUGAUGGAGGUGGUGGUGACUUGUAGUAGUAUGGUGGAGGGGGAGAAGGUGAUGGAGGAGGAGGAGACUUGUAGUAGUAGGGUGGUGGAGGUGAUGGUGAUGGUGGUGGUGGAGACUUGUAAUAAUAGGGUGGUGGAGGAGACGGUGAAGGUGGUGGUGGUGACUUAUAGUAGUAUGGUGGUGGGGGAGAUGGUGACGGUGGUGGAGGAGACUUGUAGUAGUAGGGUGGUGGGGGAGAUGGUGACGGUGGUGGUGGUGACUUAUAGUAGUAUGGUGGAGGAGGAGAAGGUGACGGGGGAGGAGGGGACUUGUAGUAGUAUGGUGGUGGAGGAGAUGGUGAUGGUGGUAGUGGGGACUUAUAGUAGUAUGGUGGAGGAGGUGAAGGAGAUGGUGGUGGUGGAGACUUGUAGUAGUAAGGUGGGGGUGGUGAUGGUGAUGGGGGUGGUGGUGAUUUAUAAUAGUAUACAGGUGCAGGUUUUGGUGAUGGUGGAGGUGGAGAUUUGUAGUAAUAAGGAUGUGGUGGAGACUUAGUUGGUGGUGGUGGAGAUUUGUAAUAGUAAGGAGGUGGAGGCGAUGGUGAUGGAGGUGGUGGUGAUUUAUAAUAGUAUAUAGGUGAAGGUUUUGGUGAUGGUGGAGGUGGAGACUUGUAAUAAUAAGUAGGUGGUGGUGGAGACUUGUAAACGUAUGCCGGAGUUGGAGGAGGUGGUGACUUGUAAACAUAUGUUGGUGAUGGAGGAGGUGGUGACUUAUAAACGUAAGUUGGUGAUGGUGGUGGAGGUGAUUUAUAAUAAUACGGAGCAGGUGUAGGCUUGGGCUUUUGGCAUUUCGCGUAAGGUGUCUUAGAGCCAUAAGCAAAUGGUUUUGCAUAGAGAACAACUUCAUAUUU